rnacentral:rRNA from 2 species
CGAGCGAUGAAACUUUAACAGAACCCUUCGGGGCGAAGAUAAAGUGGAUUAGCGGCGGACGGGUGAGUAACACGUGUGUAACCUGCCUUAGACAUUGGGAUAGCCUCGGGAAACCGGGAUUAAUACCAAAUAAAAUCAUAAUGACACAUGUCAUAACGAUCAAAACUCCGGUGGUCUAAGAUGGACUCACGUCCCAUUAGCUAGUUGGUAGAGUAAAAGCCUAGCCAAGGCGACGAUGGGUAGCCGGCCUGAGAGGGUGAACGGCCACAUUGGAACUGAGAAACGGUCCAAACUCCUACGGGAGGCAGCAGUGGGGAAUAUUGCACAAUGGAGGGAACUCUGAUGCAGCGACGCCGCGUGAACGAAGAAGGCUUUCGAGUCGUAAGGUUCUUUUAUAUGGGAAGAUAAUGACGGUACCAUAAGAAAAAGCCCCGGCUAACUACGUGCCAGCAGCCGCGGUAAUACGUAGGGGGCUAGCGUUGUCCGGAAUCACUGGGCGUAAAGGGUUCGCAGGCGGAAAUGCAAGUCAGAUGUAAAAGGCAGUAGCUUAACUACUGUAAGCAUUUGAAACUGCAUAUCUUGAGAAGAGUAGAGGUAAGUGGAAUUUUUAGUGUAGCGGUGAAAUGCGUAGAUAUUAAAAAGAAUACCGGUGGCGAAGGCGACUUACUGGGCUCAUUCUGACG